rnacentral:lncRNA from 1 species
AUUAUGCCAGCCUCACAGACUGAGGGCUGGGAGGGGUCCAGGGAGUAAUAUUAUGCAAACAACAGCAUGGUAUGCAAGUGAGGAAACUGAGUGGCCUACCUUAGAGGAGCCUAUAGGGAAUAAAGAAGAAAAAAAAAAAAACUGGAACAUAACACUGACUUCAAAAGGAGGAUGAUUUUGGUUGAGGUAGGAGAUGUUAUAGUUGGCCUGGUUUUGUUUUGCAGGACAGUUAUUCUUAGAGUGGCUGACCUUCCUCCUGUGGAUUUCUUUUGUCUUGGCUAAACUCCUCUGUUUUCUC